GAACGAAACUGUUUUGUUUUCUAUCGUACCAUGUGUUUUCUCCGGUCGUUUGUUUCUCGUCCGGUGUGCUCUUAAAAUUAUUAGUUUUUAAAGUAAUAAAAUUCCACAAUUGCUAGUGUUUGCAGUCAAAUCAAGUUUUCUCAAGAAACAAGCGAUUAAUAUAGCAUCUCACCAUGCAACAGGACGAGAUCGUGUGGAGCAUCAUAAGCCGACAGUUCUGCUCGUACCAGGUAAAAACACAAACCCAGAACUUCUGCCGCAAUGAGUACAGCCUAACGGGACUGUGCUCCCGUAAAGCAUGCCCCCUAGCAAACAGCCAGUACGCCACUAUCCGCGAGGAAAACGGCAUCAUCUAUCUGUACAUGAAAACAGCCGAACGAAAUGCCUUCCCCUCCAAACACUGGGAAAAGGUGAAACUGUCGAGGAACUACGAGAAAGCCAUCUAUCAGAUCAACGAAAAUCUACUGUACUGGGAUCGGUUCGUUCGGUUGAAAUGUAAGCAACGAUUCACCAAAAUUACCCAGUAUCUGAUUCGAAUGCGUAAGCUUAAACUGCGCCGACAGAAACUGUUGGUCCCGUUGGCGACAAAGAUCGAACGGCGGGAACGACGCCGCGAGGAGAAGGCACUGGUGGCAGCUCGGAUCGAUAAUGCUAUCGAGAAGGAACUGAUGGAACGGUUGCGGAAGGGUGCCUAUGAGGAUAUCUAUAAUUUCCCGCAGACGGCCUUUAACAAGGCACUGGAGGCGGAAGAGGUUGAAGAUGAGGAAGAUGAAGGGGAGGCGGAGAGUGAGCUGGAAGAGGAAGUGGAGAAGGAGAUGGAGGUCGAUGCGGAUAUGCAGCGGGAGUUGGAGCUGGAUGAGGAGUUUGUGGAGGGGGAUUCGGAGGAUGAUGAUGAUGGUGAGGAGAUGGGAGAGGAUGAGGAAGAUGGGGAUGCAGAAGGAGGGGAAUCCGAUGCCGAGAGUGAAUCCGGUCGUAAGGAGCGGGUGGAAGUGGAUAGCGAUUUCGAAUCAUCUGAUGAGGAUAUCGAGGACAUUGCCCCGAAGGUCACACCGCGCCUGCCGAAGAAACCAACCAGCACCGACAAAACACCGGCCGCCUCCACCAGCGGUAAGAGGAAACCGAAGAAACUACGCAAACCUCACCUGGAAAUCGAGUAUGAGGUGGAAACUGGCCCAACGCGGCAUCGGUUACAUCAGUGAGGUAAACCGGCGGCCUUCGUCUGAUGGCGAAUGUACAUGGCGAAUUGAUGUUUUACUAUUCGCCACGUUGCUGGCUUUAUGGCCGAAUGAAUUAACACUGACUGUUUGUUAGAGGACAAAAAAGUGUCUGUGGAAGAAAGUUAAAAGAUAUAGCGAUUAUAAUUCACUAUUUGCAAAAAAGUCUCCGCCAACAGGCAAAAACUAUUGCGAUGACAUGUUCCCGUGGUCAAGCAAAGAGAUGAAGCUUGAUGAAUCGUCGAUUUGACUGCCAGCAGGGACGAUACUUGCGAGUAAAUGAAUUCAUUUCCCAUACUGUUCACAUAGGUAUACCAUUUUUGCUUGGCGCCUAAAUUGAGUGAGGUUCUAACAGCUUGUCAG